rnacentral:rRNA from 1 species
UACGUAGGCAGCGAGCGUUGUUCGGAGUUACUGGGCGUAAAGCGUGCGUAGGCGGUGUCUUAAGUUUGUUGUGAAAUCUCCCGGCUUAACCGGGAGGGUGCGGCGAAUACUGAGAUGCUGGAGUGCGGGAGAGGUAAGCGGAAUUCCCGGUGUAGCGGUGAAAUGCGCAGAUAUCAGGAGGAACACCAGUGGCGAAGGCGCCGCUCUGGGCCGAGACUGACGCUGAGGAGCGAAAGCGUGGGUAGCAAACAGG